CAAUAGCGUAUAUUAAAGUUGUUGCAGUUAGAACGCUCGUAGUCGGAUUUCGGGGCGGGUCGACCGGUCUGCCGAUGGGUACGCACUGGCCGACGCGUCCUUUCUUCCGGAGACCGUCUCACUCUUAACUGAGCGGAGGCGGGAGACGGAACGUUUACUUUGAAAAAAUCAGAGUGUUUCAAGCAGGCAGCUCGCUCUUGCAUGGAUUAGCAUGGGAUAAUGAAAUAGGACUUUGGUGCUAUUUUGUUGGUUUCGAACACCGAAGUAAUGAUGAGAAGGGACAGUCAGGGGCACUCGUAUUCCGCCGAGAGAGGUGAAAUUCUCAGACCAGCGGAAGACGAACCACUGCGAAAGCAUUUGCCAGGGAUGUUUUCACUGA
rnacentral:rRNA from 1 species